rnacentral:tRNA from 1 species
GCCCUGAUGGUGAAAUGGUAGACACGAUUGAUUCAAAAUUAAUUGCUUAUUGCGUGGAGGUUCAAGUCCUCUUCAGGGCA